rnacentral:rRNA from 1 species
GUGAACGCUGGCGGCAGGCCUAACACAUGCAAGUCGAGCGGCAGCGCGGGGGCAACCCUGGCGGCGAGCGGCGGACGGGUGAGGAAUGCAUCGGAAUCUACCUCGUUGUGGGGGAUAACCUCGGGAAACCGGGACUAAUACCGCAUACGACCUACGGGUGAAAGUGGGGGACCUUCGGGCCUCACGCGAUGAGAUGAGCCGAUGCCGGAUUAGCUAGUUGGCGGGGUAAAGGCCCACCAAGGCGACGAUCCGUAGCUGGUCUGAGAGGAUGAUCAGCCACACUGGAACUGAGACACGGUCCAGACUCCUACGGGAGGCAGCAGUGGGGAAUAUUGGACAAUGGGCGCAAGCCUGAUCCAGCCAUGCCGCGUGUGUGAAGAAGGCCUUCGGGUUGUAAAGCACUUUUGUUGGGGAAGAAACCGGCCGGAUUAAUACUUCGGCUGAAUGACGGUACCCAAAGAAUAAGCACCGGCUAACUUCGUGCCAGCAGCCGCGGUAAUACGAAGGGUGCAAGCGUUACUCGGAAUUACUGGGCGUAAAGCGUGCGUAGGCGGUUUGUU